rnacentral:lncRNA from 1 species
GGAGGGCUCCGGGUCCCCCCCCUUUCCCUGAGGGGCAUUUUUGGGGGGCUUCAGAUCCCCCCCCCUCCUUGGGGGGCAUUUUUGGGUAACUGCAGCCCCCCCCUAUAGAUGGCACUGCCCCAUUCGGAGCCCCCCCCGCACCCCCACCCCCCCCGGCGCCGCUUUUCCCUUUGGGUUUUCCAGUUGUGCCUUAACCGGGGAGCAGCGCUCAGUGGGACAACAGUGGGACACCAAUGGGGCACCAAUGGGACCCCCCGUGUGACACCGAGGGGACACCAAUGGGACCCCAAUGGGACACCGGGACCCCCAGUGUGACACCAAUGGGACCCCCAGUGUGACACCAACGGGACACCAAUGGGACACCAAUGGGACCCAAAGUGUGACACCAAUGGGACACCAAUGGGACACCAAUGGAACACCAAUGGGACCGCCAGUGUGACACCAAUGGGACCCCAAUGGGACCCCAGUGUGACUCCAAUGGGACACCAAUGGGACCCCCCCUGUGACACCGAGAAGACACCAAUGGAACACCAAUGGGACCCAAAGUGUGACACCAAUGGGACACCAAUGGGACCCCAGUGUGACUCCAAUGGGACCCCCAGUGUGACACCAAGGGGACACCAAUGGGACCCCCCGUGUGACACCAACGGGACACCAAUGGGACACCGGGACCCAAAGUGUGACACCGAGAGGACCCCCAGUGUGACACAAAGGGGACUCCAAUGGGACACCGGGACCCCCACUGUGACACCGAGGGGACACCGAGGGGACACCGGGACCCCCACUGUGACACCAAUGGGACCCCAGUGAGACCCCCAGUGUGACUCCAAUGGGACCCCAGUGAGACCCCCAGUGUGACUCCAAUGGGACACCAACGGGACACCGGGACCGCCAGUGUGAUACCAGUGGGACCCCAGUGAGACCCCCAGUGUGACACCGAGGGGACACCGAGGGGACCCCAAUGGGACCCCAGUGUGACUCCAAGGGGACACCAAUGGUUCCCCCAGUGUGACACCGAGGAGACACCAAUGGAACACCAAGAAGACACCAAUGGGACCCCCAGUGUGACACCAGUGGGACACCAAUGGGACACCAAUGGGACACCAAUGGGACACUGGGACCCAAAGUGUGACACCGAGAGGACCCCCAGUGUGACACCAAUGGGACACCAAUGGGACACUGAGGGGACACCAAUGGGACCCACAGCGCCCCAAUGUGACACUGAGGGGACAGUGGGACCCCCAGCACUUUGAGGUGACCCGGAGGGGACCCCCACCACUCUGAUGUGACCCCGAGGGGACCCCCGAUGUGACACUGAGGGGACAGUGGGACCCCCAGCACUCUGAUGUGACCCCGAGUGGCCCCACACGGCUCCAUGGGACCCCACUGUGGGGCAGUGGUGGUUAUGCGGGGGGGUCGGGGGCUGCUGCCCCCCCCCACAGCCGCCCCCUGCAGAGCUGUCCCCCCCCCC